rnacentral:lncRNA from 1 species
GAGACUUCCCUAAAAGCUGCAUUUAGGACCUGGCCCGUUCUCCCCAGCUCCAGAGCAGCAGCAAAGGGAAGCAGCGUCCUCGCCAAUACCUGGGCUGUCCUUCAAGGCUCAGUGCAAGGAAAAACACCUGGGUUGGACAUCAGGUAGUGCUGACUUCCAGACCACUGAGGUCACCUGCAUAAGCGAGUCUGGCAACAAAUAAUCGUCUUCCAGAAAAUGACCAGAAACUCAGCCUGCUUUUUGUCAUUUCACCAGCCCCACCAUCUUUCCUUUAUUCUAGAGCUCCUGGCACACUUACAUGAAUCUCUUGAAAGAAGAGAAAUGAGAGCAUUCAUUCCAUACUAAUACAAUUGUGCCCUAUGGAAAGGCUUUUUGCUGGCAGACAUAGUAGACGGACCAUUUCCCAACUUCUUUUUCUUUGCCACCUUCCAGCCAAAGGUGUCCAUAUGACACAGCUCUGGACAGGAUAAUUGGAAGUCUGUUGUGGGAUUUCUGAGAAAGCUUUUGAUUUUCUGACAGAGACAUUUUUGCUUCCCCUUACCACUUCCUACUGGAUUACAGAUGUGAUGGAAAGAGCUGCAGCAGCCAUAAUACAACCAUAAAGGAGAGGAGAAGAGAAUUGCAAAGGCAUCAACCCACAUUGAAUUGAACUGCUAAGUUAACACUAGCAGUUACUUGCCUCCAGAUAUCUUGGUGUGUGAGAACAUUAAAUCUGUAUGUGUCUAAAUCAG